UUGCAUUUGAGCAUGUUCCUACUGCUGGCAGCAAAUAAUAGGAUAAUAAUAUAUAUAUUUUAAAAUAUUGAAUGCUGGGAUUAUAAUAUUAAUCAUACUUUUAUUAUUACAGAUUGAAUCCACAAAAUAAUUGAAGAAAUGGUUUCAGAUGAUUACGAACAAGCGCAGCUAUCUUUGGAGGGUAAUGCACCUACUGAUAUUCCGUGAUAAGAACUUGGGAGAGAUUUAGUGAAAACCUGGAGAACGGCCACUUAGCUCACAAAUCUGAGCUGUUCACAUCAAGCUGAUAUUUGUGACAGCCAUUAUAGCUUUAAUCAUUUUCUCGAUUGAUCAAAGCACCACAGACUGCAUCGUUCGUCACCUCUGCCUUUAAGCGCGUUAUCACCUACUCCAAUAAGCCACCCCAAUAUCCUUAAUAAGCAAUAGAAGUUCUUAUCGACUGUGUAUGACUCAUUAAUAUCCAUGUUCUGUAUAAAUUUAUGUGAUAGGCCUACUGGUAUUAAUGUUGAUGUACCGUAAUGUUUUUUGCUCAUGUAUAAUUGAUAAUAAUACAUUAAAAAUAAAUAUAAUGUUAAAUUAUUA